rnacentral:rRNA from 1 species
UUUUUUGUGGAGAGUUUGAUCCUGGCUCAGGACGAACGCUGGCGGCGUGCUUAACACAUGCAAGUCGAACGGAAAGGCCAGUGCUUGCACUGGUACUCGAGUGGCGAACGGGUGAGUAACACGUGGGUGAUCUGCCUUGCACUCUGGGAUAAGCUUGGGAAACUGGGUCUAAUACCGGAUAUGAGCCGCUUUUAGUGUGGUGGUUGGAAAGUUUUU